rnacentral:misc_RNA from 1 species
CCACUUUUAAUAUCCGGCCUCUUAGUGAAGAUCGAUUGGAAGCCAUCUUGGUAUGGCAAGAAUAUAUAGUCUCUUGACAUUGCAGCAGGGAUAAAAAUGGCUUUUUGAGUUGCACUUUUCUUGAUUUUUCAUAUUUUCAAAGAGUUCAUAGUUAUUUUGCUGGGAAAUUUAUCACACUUCCCAUCUUUUAAUUCAUCCAAACUAAACUAGUCAUCUCAGCCCUCCUUUAUGUAGUGAACGUGCAAUCAACUCUUCGGCAGUUGCGCAGCUCAUUGAUUCUACUUUAAGGAGGGCUGAGAUGACUAGUUUAGUUU